UUAUAUACUUUGAUGACAGCUUCUAAAAUGUGAAAAUGUUCUUGAUUUUUCUCUACUCUGUGACCGUAAACUGAAUAUCCUUGAGUUUUGGACAAAACAAGAUAUUCAAGGACGUCAUUUGGGAUCUGGGAAACACUGAUCCACAUUUAUAAAUAUGUUUUGACAUUUUUAUUCAUCAAACAACUAA